AGAGGGGCUGCUCCUAGUACGAGAGGACCGGAGUGGACGAACCUCUGGUGUUCCGGUUGUCACGCCAGUGGCAUUGCCGGGUAGCUAUGUUCGGAAGCGAUAACCGCUGAAAGCAUCUAAGCGGGAAGCGCGCCUCAAGAUGAGAUCUCCCGGGGCACAAGCCCCCUGAAGGAACCAUGUAGACUACGUGGUUGAUAGGUCAGGUGUGUAAGUACAGCAAUGUAUUGAGCUAACUGAUACUAAUGAUCCGUGCGGCUUGACCAU
rnacentral:rRNA from 1 species